rnacentral:rRNA from 1 species
UAGUCCACGCCGUAAACGAUGGUCACUAGCUGUUUGGUUUUUAACUGAGUGGCUAAGCGAAAGUGAUAAGUGACCCACCUGGGGAGUACGUUCGCAAGAAUGAAACUCAAAGGAAUUGACGGGGGCCCGCACAAGCGGUGGAGCAUGUGGUUUAAUUCGAUGAUACGCGAGGAACCUUACCAAGGCUUAAAUGUAGACUGACAUGGGUAGAGAUACCUUUUUCUCGGACAGUUUACAAGGUGCUGCAUGGUUGUCGUCAGCUCGUGCCGUGAGGUGUCAGGUUAAGUCCUAUAACGAGCGCAACCCCUGUUGUUAGUUACCAGCAUGUAAAGGUGGGGACUCUAACAAGACUGCCGGUGCAAACCGUGAGGAAGUGGGGAUGACGUCAAAUCAUCACGGCCCUUACGUCUUGGGGCUACACACGUGCUACAAUGGCCGGGUACAGAGAGCAGCCAGUGGGCGACCACGCGCGAAUCUAUAAAGCCGGUCACAGUUCGGAUCGGAGUCUGCAACUCGAC